rnacentral:rRNA from 1 species
AGCGCAGGCGGCCAAGUCAGUCUGAAGUGAAAUCCCGGGGCUUAACCUCGGAAGUGCUUUGGAUACUACUUGGCUAGAGUACGUGAGAGGUGAGCGGAAUUCCAGGUGUAGCGGUGAAAUGCGUAGAUAUCUGGAGGAACACCCGUGGCGAAAGCGGCUCACUGGCGCGUAACUGACGCUGAGGCUCGAAAGCGUGGGGAGCAAACGG